rnacentral:misc_RNA from 1 species
AAAAUAUAUGGUGGAUCUCACCUAUUAAAUAUAUGAGUUUAUAUAUUUCUGUCUUGAGUCUACAGACCGAAUCUAGAUAAGAAUUUCUCUUGAGAGAUAUGCAUUUAAUUAUUAGACCAAAUUAAACUGGGCAAUACUAAACAAAUUCUUGCCUCUAUACUAUAGUUGAAGCUACAGCAAAAAGGCUUUCUAUUCACUUUCCUAUAAUUUGCCGUAGUCUUUGGCCUUCCUA